rnacentral:ncRNA from 1 species
UAUAAGUUUGAUUCUUGCUUAAAAAUUUGUUCAUUUUAACAUUAAUCUAUAUGUAAAUUUUUGUUCGUUUUAAUUUCUAAAUGAUAUUUUGACAUGAUUUAUUGCAGUAGAUAAUUUUAUUGAUAUUAAAUAAAUUUAGAUUUGGUAAAUGUUAAUUAGGUUUGGUUAAAGCUGUGCCAGCAUCCGCGGUUAUACAGCGAAAUCAAAUGAACAUUAUUGGUUUUGAAGUAAUUAAUAUUAUUUUUAUAAAUGGGAAUUAAGAGAAAAUUAUUAUAAGGUGAAAUAUUUAUAAUAUCUUGAGGUAUAUUUAUUUUUGUAUGAUUAUUAUGAAAGUAAAAAUAUAAACUAGGAUUAGAUACCCUAUUAUUUUUAUUGUAAAAUUUGAAACUUGAGUAUUAGUAGUUAAGGUCUUGAAACUUAAAGAAUUUGGCGGUAUUAUAGUCUAUUUAGAGGAAUCUGUUAUGUAAUCGAUAGUCCACGUUGAACCUUACUUAUAUUAUUUCUUGUAUACCGCUGUUUGAGAAUAUACUUUUAGGUUAUUUUCUUAAUAUAUUAUUAAUUAAAAUUUCAGGUCAAGGUGCAGUAAUAUAUAAGUUGAAUAAUGGAUUACAAUAAAUUUUAUUUAUAUGGAUUGUUAUUGAAAUAUAAUUUGAAGGUGGAUUUAAUUGUAAUUUUUUAAAGAUUAUUAAAAUGAUUAAUAGCUCUAUAAUAUGUACACAUCGCCCGUCGCUCUCGUUAUUAAGAUGAGAUAAGUCGUAACAAAGUAGGUGUAUCGGAAGGUGUACCUAGAAAGUGAGAUUUAAAAAGUAAUUAAAUAU